UACAGGGGGUGCAAACGUUGCUCGGAAUCAUUGGGCGUAAAGCGCACGUAGGCGGUUCGUUAUGUCGGAUGUGAAAGCCCUUGGCUUAACCGAGGAAGUGCAUCCGAAACUGGCGAGCUAGAGUACUAAAGAGGAUCGCGGAAUUCCCGGUGUAGAGGUGAAAUUCGUAGAUAUCGGGUAGAACACCAGUGGCGAAGGCGACGAUCUGGACGGACACUGACGCUGAGGAGCGAAAGCGUGGGGAGCGAACAGG
rnacentral:rRNA from 1 species